UUGUAUAAGUAUAAAUAGGGACCUCAAGAGCUGCAAACUCCAGUAAGAAACGAGUCUAGUGAGAGAUGAAUAAAGAGAAGAGGGAAAAGGUACUUUGGGUUGGAGAAAGUGAGCGAGUGAGAGAGAGGAUGAGAAAAGAAAUUAAGAUGAAGGUUGAAUUGGAUGUCUGCGGAGAUGGCAAACAAAUUAAGGUAUAAGAGAAGAGAGUUGCUGUGUUGAUGAUGGUCAGUCGGUUUUGAAAGAAUCAAAUAAAGGAGUAAGGUCGAUUACGGUGGACUAAUGUCCUUCUGCCAGUAUGAGGGGAACACGGACACAGAGGGGAUUUGCUGAAGGUAGACUCUUGUAGUAAAGAGUCGGAGCAAUGCUUUGGAAUCCAGGUAGGGGAAAUACGGCAGACCUUUACGGAGAUUGGCUUUAUUAAAUUUCGUGAAGCAUUAUAUUAUUAUUGAUCUUGUUGGUUGAUUAAUGUGAUAUGGGUUGCUAAUUGGACAAAUACUGCUCUUGCGUGUUUACUUGUUAUUGGUUAUGGAAUUAUUGGUGAAAUGCGAUUGGUUGAGAAUAUACUAUGG